GACGAACGCUGGCGGCGUGCUUAACACAUGCAAGUCGAACGGAAAGGCCCUGCUUUUGUGGGGUGCUCGAGUGGCGAACGGGUGAGUAACACGUGAGUAACCUGCCCUUGACUUUGGGAUAACUUCAGGAAACUGGGGCUAAUACCGGAUAGGAGCUCCUGCUGCAUGGUGGGGGUUGGAAAGUUUCGGCGGUUGGGGAUGGACUCGCGGCUUAUCAGCUUGUUGGUGGGGUAGUGGCUUACCAAGGCUUUGACGGGUAGCCGGCCUGAGAGGGUGACCGGCCACAUUGGGACUGAGAUACGGCCCAGACUCCUACGGGAGGCAGCAGUGGGGAAUAUUGCACAAUGGGCGGAAGCCUGAUGCAGCAACGCCGCGUGCGGGAUGACGGCCUUCGGGUUGUAAACCGCUUUCGCCUGUGACGAAGCGUGAGUGACGGUAAUGGGUAAAGAAGCACCGGCUAACUACGUGCCAGCAGCCGCGGUGAUACGUAGGGUGCGAGCGUUGUCCGGAUUUAUUGGGCGUAAAGGGCUCGUAGGUGGUUGAUCGCGUCGGAAGUGUAAUCUUGGGGCUUAACCCUGAGCGUGCUUUCGAUACGGGUUGACUUGAGGAAGGUAGGGGAGAAUGGAAUUCCUGGUGGAGCGGUGGAAUGCGCAGAUAUCAGGAGGAACACCAGUGGCGAAGGCGGUUCUCUGGGCCUUUCCUGACGCUGAGGAGCGAAAGCGUGGGGAGCGAACAGGCUUAGAUACCCUGGUAGUCCACGCUGUAAACGGUGGGUACUAGGUGUGGGGUCCAUUCCACGGGUUCCGUGCCGUAGCUAACGCUUUAAGUACCCCGCCUGGGGAGUACGGCCGCAAGGCUAAAACUCAAAGGAAUUGACGGGGCCCCGCACAAGCGGCGGAGCACGCGGAUUAAUUCGAUGCAACGCGUAGAACCUUACCUGGGUUUGACAUGGAUCGGGAGCGCUCAGAGAUGGGUGUGCCUCUUUUGGGGUCGGUUCACAGGUGGUGCAUGGCUGUCGUCAGCUCGUGUCGUGAGAUGCUGGGUUAAGUCCCGCAACGAGCGCAACCCUUGUUCACUGUUGCCAGCACGUUAUGGUGGGGACUCAGUGGAGACCGCCGGGGUCAACUCGGAGGAAGGUGGGGAUGACGUCAAGUCAUCAUGCCCCUUAUGUCCAGGGCUUCACGCAUGCUACAAUGGCUGGUACAGAGAGUGGCGAGCCUGUGAGGGUGAGCGAAUCUCGGAAAGCCGGUCUCAGUUCGGAUUGGGGUCUGCAACUCGACCUCAUGAAGUCGGAGUCGCUAGUAAUCGCAGAUCAGCAACGCUGCGGUGAAUACGUUCCCGGGGCU
rnacentral:rRNA from 1 species